rnacentral:rRNA from 1 species
UCGGGAAUUUUGGGCAAUGGGCGAAAGCCUGACCCAGCAACGCCGCGUGAAGGAUGAAGUAUUUCGGUAUGUAAACUUCGUAAGAAUAGGAAGAAUAAAUGACGGUACUAUUUGUAAGGUCCGGCUAACUACGUGCCAGCAGCCGCGGUAAUACGUAGGGACCAAGCGUUGUUCGGAUUUACUGGGCGUAAAGGGCGCGUAGGCGGCGGCGUAAGUCGAGUGUGAAAUCUUCCGGCUCAACCGGAAAAUUGCACUCGAUACUGUGUCGCUCGAGGACUGUAGAGGAGACUGGAAUUCACGGUGUAGCGGUGAAAUGCGUAGAUAUCAAGAGGAACACCUGAGGUGAAGACGGGUUGCUGGGCUGACACUGACGCUGAGGCGCGAAAGCCAGGGGAGCAAACGGGAUUAGAUACCCAUGUAGUCCCUGAGCGGGCUGGCAAGGCGCAU